UGGGGGAUCGUCUAAGGGUAGGACAUCAGAUUCUGGAUCUGAUUGUGAGGGUUCGAAUCCUUCUCCCCCAGCCA
rnacentral:tRNA from 1 species